rnacentral:lncRNA from 1 species
GGGGGGGGGAAGGGAUGAAGGAGUUGGGUGUCUCCGCUCCCGGAGGGAGGCGUCGCCAUAACGCCCGCCGGGGCUGCGGUGGGCUUCCAGCAUGGGGAGCCCCCAGCACCCCGAUCCCUUGGGACACGGGCUGCGCCGGGCCCUGGCUGAGCGUCCCCGAAAGAAGCAGCGGCCGCCCCUCCCUGAGCGAGGGGAGGUGAGGGGGUCCCGGCCGGGAUUUUCUAGGAACAGGGGUUCCCCUAAAUCUGUGCAGUGCUUGGUAGGACAUCAAACACUACGUCUGGUCCUGUGUCUGUCUACACAGAAAUGCAGCUGUUCAGGUGACAGUUUAUUCCUCCUUUCUGAAACGCUGCAAGCCUCCCAAGACGCUUCCCUCCAUCAUCAAGGUAACAGUUUGCUCAUGCUUGAAUAUUCUGCUGAGUAGGGAAAGCAAAAUGGAUGAAGUUCUGCAAUCCUCAGUAAUCUGGCUGUCAUGUUAUUAGAAGUUGUGUGUUUGUUCUUAAAGAGCAUGUGAAACCAAUAAAAUAUUAUGGAAU